UCGAAACACAAGUUCUUGUACGAUCAUUGAAGUUAAGCAAUGUCGCGCCUGGUCAGUAUCUAGAUGGGUGACCGCUUGAGAAUACCAGGUGCAGUAUU